rnacentral:lncRNA from 1 species
AUGGAGGCGGAGACAGAGGCGGGCAGCCAAAGGCUGCUGAGGGGGAAAGGGGGCAAGUUCAACGUCACCCGUCGCCACGCAGCCCCAGCCUCACAAAGUCUCGCCCGUGGGUGUGUUUCUAGGAGCCAGCGCUGGAGCACGGGUUGUACUGCAGUGAGGCGGGCGGGGUGGGUGGGGAACCGGUCCAGCCGAGGGCUGAGUCCACACCCUGGGAAGGGCACGAGGGAGCAGGACAGUCUGUCCAGAGAUGGUCCCGAAACAGCAAAGCAGCGCUCCCGCAGCUCCCCGACCCAAGCCCGCCACGGGCGUCCACACCUGUCCGGGGCCACACUGCCCCUGCACAGCCACCUGUUAGCACAAGUUCCGCAGCUGGGCGUGGGGGCGCCCAGGAGGCGACCAAGCCGAGCGCGCUUCGGAGUCGGAGCCCCUCCCGCGACGGGGGGCCGUUCCCAGCGCCCGGGGGAGACCCCAUGCGGCCCCCAUCCCCGAUACCUUCCACCCUCAGCACACCCGCUAGGGGGCCUCCUCGCGCACCUGGGGGUCGCCGCGCCCUUCCCGAGCGACCACGCCCCUCACCGGCCGUUCCCAGCGCGCGAUGGCCCCUGCGCACCCCUGUCUCCCACAGAGGUCCCUGCCCCGGAGCCGCGACCCCGAGCUCGCGGCCUCCCCUGGGGGAGACACUCAGUGUCGGGCCCCUCACCUCCGCACAGCGCAGGGAGGGGCGGGGCAGGGGACUCCGCGCAGGAGGAGGAGGCAGGCGUCGGACAGGGGGAUCGGACAGGGGCUCGUUACGCCGCCCCCACCCUCGGCCCGGGCCCAGAGCGCGCGCCGAGCGGUCCCGGCUGCUCCCCGCCCCCGGCCGGCCCCGCCCCAGGAUGGCCAGUUCCCGUAGCAAUGGCACAGACACGGGUUGCCAAGCAACUCUUCCCCCUCCCCUCCUCGGUAGUCCGCUCCCCCCACCCCCAGCCUCCUCCCGCCCCCACGCCAGCCUCCACCUCCCCCGGGGGUGUUGGCACGGCCCCUGAGGACCGCUCGGGUCUCGGGCUGUGGGCGCGCGCGAGUUUUCCGUGUGUUUCACUGUGGCCGUGCGCGAGGGGGUGUGCGCGUGCGAGCAGAGAGUUUGCGGGAUCAGUGUGUCGGGCAGGUUCCCGGCAGGAAGGGACCCCAGCUGGUGCACAGCCGGCCGCGAGGGGACCCGCCAGCCCGCUCCGGGUCCUUUGUGUCUCGCGCGGAACCGGCGCCGCGCCCACCCAUCCCCCGGCCCACGCCCGGGCAGUGCACGCGCGCGUGUGUGCCCGUGCGUGCGCGCGUGUGUGCGGUGUGUGCGCGCGGGGGGAGGGGUCCGGUACCUUCGAUGCAGCACACCCGCCACAGCCCCGAGUGGGUGAGGUCGCCGCGCGCGCGGCGGGGCGGAGGCCCGUCGUCCAUGGUCAGGUUGGUGCCGUUGCAGAUGUGCGCGCUGGAGUAGAGCCAGUAGUAGGUGCUGGUGCCAAUGGACGAUGGCCAUGA